GCCCCAGUGGCGCAAUUGGUUAGCGCACGGUACUUAUAAUGCCGGGGUUGUGAGUUCGAGUGAGUUCGAGCCUCACCUGGGGCA